rnacentral:tRNA from 1 species
GGGUGGAUAGCUCAGUGGUAGAGCACGUACAUUGCAUGCACAAGGUCCUGGGUUCAAUCCCCAGCACCUC